UACGUAGGGGGCGAGCGUUGUCCGGAUUUAUUGGGCGUAAAGAGCGCGUAGGCGGCCAGGUAGGUCCGACGUGAAAUCUCGAGGCUCAACCUCGAGCGGUCGUUGGAUACCGCCUGGCUAGAGUCCGGAAGAGGAGAGUGGAAUUCCUGGUGUAGCGGUGAAAUGCGCAGAUAUCGGGAGGAACACCUAUGGCGAAGGCAGCUCGCUGGGACGUUACUGACGCUGAGACGCGAAAGCGUGGGGAGCAAACAGG
rnacentral:rRNA from 1 species